rnacentral:lncRNA from 1 species
UGUCACGCCCCGGGACCGGCGGAGGCCCUCCCGGUAGCGCGCCUAGACCCGCUAUAUGUAAACACAUAUAAGGCGUCUAUAAUAAAAGCGGAAAUAAAAGCAAGAAAUAGCCUACAUCUAGAGAUAUCAGAGCAAGAGUGAAAGAAACUACUAAAAAUAAUAAAAGUAAACUGUAAGGUAUAGUGUAAUACAACAUCUGCCUCAAGUACAAAAAUGGUGGUCUCUAUACAUAUACAGGUACAACUCUCAACCUCUCACAAAAAGAAAACACGAGAGGUAGACCACCUAUCGAACGAUCCCUCGGUAAGCACGCUAGCCCGAGGCGAUAACCUUUGCGCGAUCCUUGGCCUCUCCCUGCGUGGAAGGCUCUGAAAAACAUCGAGAAAAAGAGGGCGUGAGAACUAUAAUUUAUAGUUCCCAGUGAGCAAUUACUGACCUCAACUCUAUGCACCACUAGGCCCCAAAAGAAAAGGGUAAGUACAAUAAUAAUAGCAAUAAUGACUGCGAUAUGAAAGCAUAAUUGAAAAACUAAAUUACUAAACUCAAAUAUACACGAUGUCAUGGUGUUGUACAUCUACGAUAUCAUAUUAGUAUGUCCAAUGGCAAUAGUUAAAUGUCAUUAACCUUUAUCAAUACAUGAUGCAUAAGUUCUGUCAUGGCAACCAAGUAUGCUUUAAUGCAAUAAAAGACUAUCAAGUAUACUACAUGUCUCAACACUAUGCUAAAAGCAUAUAAAUGUAAUUCAACUACUAAACCUAUCUAGUAGUGAUUAUCCAUUCCCGGUUCAAUGUCAUUAAUCAAACAUGUUUUAGGAUCUACAUAUUGUAAUCCAGCUUGUGCCGCCUAAGUGUCGGUGGUAGCCCCAACAUUCCCACUCUAGGAAUGAGUCUAUCCCUCCCGACCCCGUAGGCUUCUCGAUACCGCACGGCGAACAUAGGUCGCGUAGGCUAACUCCGGAGUGCCGGCUUGUAGGGAGCGACCCUCACAAGCAUGUGCGAAUGAGCACAAAUGGCAAGCAAGCAUAGUCCAAGUCUCAAGUAUCCAAUCCUCAUGUCUCUAACAUGGUAUAGUCACUAGCAUCCCGAAGAUCUAGUUUAAGUCACAAUGUGAAGUUUCAACAUUUGCUACGCCUAGUGCCCCUUGAUGACACUUAGGCAAUUUGAUGUUCAACAUGUAUUCCAAAUCCCUCAAUGGCCCUAUCCACUAGGUUCACACAUGUCC